rnacentral:lncRNA from 1 species
AAAAUAGAAGAAGUGGUUGUUGAGAAAAACAUAAAGGAGAUAGAAAUGAAAAAUUUGAAUGAGAAUGAGAAGAAAGACGAGGAAGGAAAAGCCAUGGUUGAGAAAAGUAAAAGAAAGAAAAGAAAAAAAUUGAAAAUAAAGAAAAGGAGGAAAAAGAAAAAGAGAAGGUCAAUGAAGGAGAAACUUAAGAGAAAGAGGAAGAGAGGAAAGAGAAAAAAAUCAUGUAAAGAACCAUUUCCUCAUAAUAAGA